CCUGGCUCAGGAUGAACGCUAGCUACAGGCUUAACACAUGCAAGUCGAGGGGCAGCAUGAGAUUAGCUGCUAAUCUGAUGGCGACCGGCGCACGGGUGCGUAACACGUAUCCAAUCUACCCAUGGGCUCGGGGAUAGCCUUUCGAAAGAAAGAUUAAUACCCGAUGGUCUGCGAUUGAGACAUCUCGAUUGCAGUAAAGACUUGUCGGCGAUGGAUGGGGAUGCGCCCGAUUAGCUAGUUGGCGGGGUAACGGCCCACCAAGGCGACGAUCGGUAGGGGUCUGAGAGGAAGGUCCCCCACACUGGAACUGAGACACGGUCCAGACUCCUACGGGAGGCAGCAGUGAGGAAUAUUGGUCAAUGGGCGAUGGCCUGAACCAGCCAAGUAGCGUGAGGGACGACGGCCCUACGGGUUGUAAACCUCUUUUGUAUGGGAAUAAAGUGAGGCACGUGUGCCUUUUUGUAUGUACCUUACGAAUAAGCAUCGGCUAAUUCCGUGCCAGCAGCUGC
rnacentral:rRNA from 1 species